GAUGAACGCUAGCGGCAGGCCUAAUACAUGCAAGUCGAACGGUCCGCUUCGGCGGAUAGUGGCGCACGGGUGCGUAACACGUAUGCAACCUACCUUACAUUGGGGGAUAGCCUUUCGAAAGGGAGAUUAAUACCGCAUAAGACAGUAGCUGGGCAUCCAGUAGCUGUUAAAGAUUUAUCGAUGUAAGCUGGGCAUGCGUCCAAUUAGUUAGUUGGUGAGGUAACGGCUCACCAAGACGAUGAUUGGUAGGGGAACUGAGAGGUCAAUCCCCCACACUGGCACUGAGAUACGGGCCAGACUCCUACGGGAGGCAGCAGUAGGGAAUAUUGGGCAAUGGACGCAAGGCUGACCCAGCCAUGCCGCGUGCAGGAAGAAGGCGUUCUGCGUUGUAAACUGCUUUUAUAUAGGAAGAAACGACCCUUGCGAGGGGCAUUGACGGUAUUAUAUGAAUAAGCACCGGCUAACUCCGUGCCAGCCGCCGCAGUAACAC
rnacentral:rRNA from 1 species